rnacentral:misc_RNA from 1 species
AACCAUUGCAGUGGCUGGCAGGUUUCCUGAGCUAAGAUCAUCUGUGAGUCUGUGACUCAAUGUGAAGUGUGAUCUGUGAUUUCCUCUGAUUUUUAUUCGUGAAUUGUGAUAUCGAGUUCAGUUUUCGUCUGUUCGUUGUUCGUACUUAGAGUUUGUGAGUGGCAUGACUUUUGCUUGUUGAGCAAUUCGAUAGACUUCCCUGAUUUUAUUUCUGAUGUGUUAAAAAUAUAUUAUUUUAUACGUUUGAUAAAGAGGACUCAAACUUAAGAAAAAUGCCAAUCGUCAGUGGCUCUACUGACCUGAAGUCACUUCCAAGUAUGAAUGGAAAUUCAGACCAUAGUCUAUUGCAAUUAGACGAUGAUGAGUCAUUUGUCGUCCUGGAAAGAUCUUCAGCAAAUGACGAAGGGAUGACAAUUGAUGGAAAUCUUCAGGGUUACCAACCUCUUCCGGUCAGUUACUCAUUCCCAGUCUUCAACAAUUUGGUUUCAAGCCAGAGUCCACUCAUAAAUCAGCCAGUUCCUGUAAUAGAUCCUUUGGGCCUCCAAUUUGAAAGUCCACAUAGCUCUGUAAGCGUUGAGGAAAUAGAGAAACGCCUUCAAGAGGUCAUCCAUGAAAACAUAAACCUAAAAGAAAUUGUGUACCAGACCAACAUGGUAAUGAAACAACAGCUGAAGACUGUGAGUCUGGUACAGGAUAGGGCAUUGGAAACUCAGAGGAACCACCAGGAAAAGUUUGAAGAAACUAAAUCGUUAAUACUGAAGCUGGGAUCGGAGAAAAAUAUUCUGCAAGAAACUAACAGUUUGAUUGUGUCUCAGUUAGAAAAAUUAAAAGAAGAAAACAAGGAAUUGAAAAGUGCAAACGAAGCUUUUGGAAAUGAAAUAUCAAAGUUUAAAGAAGAUACCAAACAGCUCAAGGAAUCCAACAUGGCGUUAGUAACAGAAACUACUAAACUGUUAGCAGAAAACGAGGCACUGAAGAAACAAUUGACCACAGCACAAGAAGCUGUGCAAACUGCAUCCGAGAGUAGCAAAGUAUCAUCAUCAGAGCUGAUGGCAGAAAACGAAACGCUGAAGAACCGAUUGGCAUCUGCAGAAGCUUUGCAGCGUUCCUUUGAAAAUAGCAAAAUAGCAGAGUUGAUGGAGGAAACCCAGAACCUGAAGAAACAGUUGGAGUCUGCAAACGAAGCUUACCAAAAUGCAUGGGAAAGUGGAAAAGUAGCAGCAGCAGAGCUGGUGGCAGAAAAUAAGAGUCUGAAGAACCAGUUGGUAUCUGCAGAAGAAGCUUUGAAACAUGCCUCUGAGGGCAACAAGAAAGCUUCACAGCAAUCAGCAAAGGAGGUAGAACUGCACCAACUGGUGGGUGACCUUACCAGAAAAUUGGAGAUUGUAGAAAGAGCUCGCAGAGAUCAAGAGUUUGGUUUGGAUCGUUUACAAGCCCAGCUGGGCCGAGUGACUGAAGAGCUCACAGACACUCAACGAAAACUUGCUCACUCUGAGAAUGCACUACAGUCAUCUCAAAGCCAGUUACAAACUGAAAAUUCCUUCCAGUACGGGGAGAAAUUAAAUAAGUACUUGGGUCUACUGAAGCAACUGAAAGAUUCACUAGAUGAGGAGCAAUCCAGAUGUAACAGCCUUGGCAGUUGGCUAAAUUUGACCGCAGAAUCUGGAAAUGUGAUGGAGUUUGAGAUUUCUGAAUUACGACGUCUUCUGCAAGAGGAACAAGAGCAUAGUGUUAAAAUGAAGACAUGUUUGUACUCAGCAGUGACAAUGAUCCAUGAAAUAUUGUCAGACUUCAAAAGUCUGGGAGAGGAGCUGGAGAAAGUUAGAGCAGAUCAUGCUGUCAAGGAAUCACACAGCCUGGCAUAUGAUGAGAUGCAGAAGAAGGGUUUCCGAGAGAGGCUCGACUCACUGACAGCCAAGCUGGUGGAGAAGGAGGAGGCCUUAGCCAUCUCUCAGAGACAUUUGGCCUCUCUCCAUGAGGCCGUCCGUCUGCAGAACGCAGAGAAAGAGGGUGCUUUCUCAUUUUUAGGAUUAUAUGGUAGCGGAGAAGUAAAAGUUCUCAAGGAGCAAGUGAAAAACUUGAGUGAUGAAGUUCAAGCUAAAAAGGAUGAACUGCAAGCCAACAUGCAACAAAUACAGACUCUUAGAACUGAAGUGCAGAAGCUGCAAGGUGUCAAUGACACUGUAAUGGUCCUUGAGGAGCAAGCAAAGAUAUAUCAAGCUGACUUCGAAGCGGAGCGAAAAGCAAGAGAAUUGUUAGUUGCAGAGAAGGAAAGAGUUGUAGAAGAUUUUCGUCAUCUUGUGAAAAGAAAUGAAGCUUUACUCAAGCAAGUCAAUAAACUUCAAAACAACCUUCCACGUGAAAAUGCAGUUACAUCCCAAACCUGCUCAUCUUCAAGGCGGCAGGAGCAAACUCCAUCCCCUCCCACACCAAGGCCACAAGAUGAUGUCAUUCCAGCGCCCAAGAGGUAUUUCUGUCCGAACCCAGAGUGCAACAUGAUAUUCACAACGGUGGAUCCCCUGCAGCUUCAUGUCAUCACAUGUCUUAAGCUUGACGACUAGGUCUCUAUCCCUCUCCCUCCCUUUCUACAGAUCGAAGAGGCUGUGACUUGUUAAUACCCUUGGCUGGUGCGAAAUUCCAAUUUAAGGCCCAAACCCAAGCAGUUUGUUUGUCCCAACACCACUUGCAAUCUCCCGUUCAACUCUCUGGAUGAAGUCCACCAACAUGUGAUCGCAUGUUGGGGCCUGCAAGAUUAGAUCAUUUGCGAC